UACGGGGGGGGGCAAGCGUUGUUCGGAAUUACUGGGCGUAAAGGGCGCGUAGGCGGCCAGACAAAGUCGAGCGUUAAAUUCCAGGGCUUAACCCUGGGCUGUUGCUCGAUACUAGUCGGCUAGAGUGUGGAAGAGGGUGCUGGAAUUCCCGGUGUAGCGGUGAAAUGCGUAGAUAUCGGGGAGGAACACCAGUGGCGAAGGCGGGCACCUGGGCUAACACUGACGCUGAGGCGCGAAAAGCUGAGGGGAGCCAAACA
rnacentral:rRNA from 1 species